rnacentral:lncRNA from 1 species
GCACCUCUCAUGCCACUGAAGAGCCAUCACUCCAAUCAGAAACUGAAAUCCUGCUUUGUGCUCCUCCAGUGUGGAAAUCUGUCAGGUCCCUGUGCAGAGUUAUUCAGCACUGCCGUUUGUUGUGUAACACCAGUGGGUUCUGUGAUACCGGAGUUCUGCUGGUUCAAAGGAGAUGGCCCUGUGGAGCAUCUUUUUGAUGUCAUGGCUUUUGCUAGAGGCUUUUGUUUAAAGCUUCCCACACACUGUCUGCUCUCUCUCCUGCUCUCCCUCCCGCUCACAUGUGGGAAACAGCAGAGUAAUUUGCAAUAUAAAUUACAAAAUCAACUGUUGAGUUUACAGAUUGAAUAUGCAUGAAAAUAUUGCAUGGUGUUACUGUCUUCCUCAGCCUAAUAAAGGUAAAUAUGUCUGAAAUGUGUA